rnacentral:rRNA from 2 species
GUAAUGUCUGGGAAACUGCCUGAUGGAGAGGGAUAACUACUGGAAACGGUGGCUAAUACCGCAUAACGUCGCAAGACCAAAGAGGGGGACCUUCGGGCCUCUUGCCAUCAGAUGUGCCCAGAUGGGAUUAGCUUGUUGGUGAGGUAACGGCUCACCAAGGCGACGAUCCCUAGCUGGUCUGAGAGGAUGACCAGCCACACUGGAACUGAGACACGGUCCAGACUCCUACGGGAGGCAGCAGUGGGGAAUAUUGCACAAUGGGCGCAAGCCUGAUGCAGCCAUGCCGCGUGUAUGAAGAAGGCCUUCGGGUUGUAAAGUACUUUCAGCGGGGAGGAAGGUGUUGUGGUUAAUAACCGCAGCAAUUGACGUUACCCGCAGAAGAAGCACCGGCUAACUCCGUGCCAGCAGCCGCGGUAAUACGGAGGGUGCAAGCGUUAAUCGGAAUUACUGGGCGUAAAGCGCACGCAGGCGGUCUGUCAAGUCGGAUGUGAAAUCCCCGGGCUCAACCUGGGAACUGCAUUCGAAACUGGCAGGCUUGAGUCUUGUAGAGGGGGGUAGAAUUCCAGGUGUAGCGGUGAAAUGCGUAGAGAUCUGGAGGAAUACCGGUGGCGAAGGCGGCCCCCUGGACAAAGACUGACGCUCAGGUGCGAAAGCGUGGGGAGCAAACAGGAUUAGAUACCCUGGUAGUCCACGCCGUAAACGAUGUCUACUUGGAGGUUGUGCCCUUGAGGCGUGGCUUCCGGAGCUAACGCGUUAAGUAGACCGCCUGGGGAGUACGGCCGCAAGGUUAAAACUCAAAUGAAUUGACGGGGGCCCGCACAAGCGGUGGAGCAUGUGGUUUAAUUCGAUGCAACGCGAAGAACCUUACCUGGUCUUGACAUCCACAGAAGAAUCCAGAGAUGGAUUUGUGCCUUCGGGAACUGUGAGACAGGUGCUGCAUGGCUGUCGUCAGCUCGUGUUGUGAAAUGUUGGGUUAAGUCCCGCAACGAGCGCAAC